rnacentral:rRNA from 1 species
GACGAACGCUGGCGGCGUGCUUAACACAUGCAAGUCGAACGGACAGGCCCUGCUUUUGUUGCUUUCUCGAUUGGCGAACGGGUGAGUAACACGUGAGUAACCUCCCCUUGACUUUGGGAUAACUUCUGGAAAAUGGGGCUAAUACCCGAUAGGAUCUCCUGCUGCACGGUGGUGGUUGGAAAGUUUCGGCGGUUGGGGCUGGACUAGCGGCUUAUCCGCUUGUUGGUGGGGUAGGGGCUUACCACGGGUUUGAGGGGUAGCCGGCCUGGGAGGGUGACCAGCCACAUUGGGACUGCGAUACGCACCAGAAUGCAACGGGAGGCAGCAGUGGGGAAUAUGGCAGAGUGGGCGGAAGCCUGAUGCAGCAGCGCCGCGUGCGGAAUGACGGCCUUCGGGUUGUAAACCGCUUUCGCAUGUGACGAAGCGUGAGUGACGGUAAUGGGUAAAGAAGCACCGGCUAACUACGUG